rnacentral:antisense_RNA from 1 species
UGUGGGAGCUGGCUUGCCUGCGAUGGCGGUGUAUCAGUCACAGCUUUUUCAACUGAUACACCGCCAUCGCAGGCAAGCCAGCUCCCACA